rnacentral:rRNA from 1 species
UUUCGGUUAAAUCCAUAUGCUCAACAUAUGGGCCGCCGGGAAUACUGCACAGCUAGGGAGUGGGAGAGGUAGACGGUACUCGGUAGGAAGGGGUAAAAUCCUUUGAUCUAUUGAUGACCACCAGUGGCGAAGGCGGUCUACCAGAACACGUCCGACGGUGAGGGAUGAAAGCUGGGGGAGCAAACCGGAUUAGAUACCCGGGUAGUCCCAGCUGUAAACUAUGCGAACUCGGUGAUGCGUUGGCUUGUAGCCAGUGCAGUGCCGCAGGGAAGCCGUUAAGUUUGCCGCCUGGGAAGUACGUACGCAAGUAUGAAACUUAAAGGAAUUGGCGGGGGAGCACCACAAGGGGUGAAGCCUGCGGUUCAAUUGGAGUCAACGCCAGAAAUCUUACCCGGAGAGACAGCAGAAUGAAGGUCAAGCUGAAGACUUUACCAGACAAGCUGAGAGGUGGUGCAUGGCCGUCGCCAGCUCGUGCCGUGAGAUGUCCUGUUAAGUCAGGUAAGGAGCGAGACCCUUGCCUUUAGUUGCCACCAUUACUCUCAGGAGUAGUGGGGCGAAUUAGCGGGACCGCCGCAGUUAAUGCAGAGGAAGGAAAGGGCCACGGCAGGUCAGUAUGCCCCGAAACUCUGGGGCCACACGCGGGCUGCAAUGGUAAUGACAGUGGGUUUGGAAUCGGAAAGGAGGAGGUAUCCUCAACGUUACCACAGUUAUGAUUGAGGGCUGCACUCGCCCUCAUGAAUAUGGAAUCCCUAGUAACUGCGUGUCAUUAUCGCGCGGUGAAUACGUCC